rnacentral:rRNA from 1 species
UACGUAGGCGGCUACGCAAGUUGGGUGUGAAAGCCCGGGGCUCAACCCCGGAACUGCACUCAAAACUGUUUAGCUAGAGUUCGGAAGAGGUAAGUGGAAUUCCCAGUGUAGAGGUGAAAUUCGUAGAUAUUGGGAAGAACACCAGUGGCGAAGGCGGCUUACUGGUCCGAUACUGACGCUGAGGUACGAAAGCGUGGGGAGCAAACA